rnacentral:miRNA from 1 species
GCUUUGAUGACGUUGCACUACU